GGGGGGGGGGGGGGGGGGGGGGGGGACGGGGAGGGCGGAGGGGAGGGGGGGGGGGGGGGGGGGUGCUGGAGGGGCGAACGGGGGAGUAACACGUGAGGAACCUGCCCUUGACUGGGGGGUAACUUCAGGAAACUGGGGCUAAUACCGGAUAGGAGCUCCGGCUGGAUGGUGGGGGUGGGAAAGGUUCGGCGGGUGGGGAUGGACUCGCGGCUUAUCAGCGUGUUGGUGGGGUAGUGGCGUACCAAGGCUUUGACGGGUAGCCGGCCUGAGAGGGUGACCGGCCACAUUGGGACUGAGAUACGGCCCAGACUCCUACGGGAGGCAGCAGUGGGGAAUAUUGCACAAUGGGCGGAAGCCUGAUGCAGCAACGCCGCGUGCGGGAUGACGGCCUUCGGGUUGUAAACCGCUUUCGCCUGUGACGAAGCGUGAGUGACGGUAAUGGGUAAAGAAGCACCGGCUAACUACGUG
rnacentral:rRNA from 1 species